rnacentral:pre_miRNA from 1 species
GCAGGUGAGGUAGUAGGUUGUAUAGUAAGGUACUACAUCUCUUUGGCGUACUGUACAGCUUGCUAACUUUCCUGG